UACGGAGGGGGCUAGCGUUGUUCGGAAUUACUGGGCGUAAAGCGCACGUAGGCGGCUUUGCAAGUUAGAGGUGAAAGCCCGGGGCUCAACUCCGGAAUUGCCUUUAAAACUGCAUCGCUAGAAUUGUGGAGAGGUAAGUGGAAUUCCGAGUGUAGAGGUGAAAUUCGUAGAUAUUCGGAAGAACACCAGUGGCGAAGGCGACUUACUGGACACAUAUUGACGCUGAGGCGCGAAAGCGUGGGGAGCGAUCCGG
rnacentral:rRNA from 1 species